rnacentral:miRNA from 1 species
CAAAGUUGAUCUUGUUUAUGACGUCGAAUAUCGACGUCAUAAACACCAAAGUUGAUCGUGUUUAUGACGUCGAAUAUCGACGUCAUAAACACCAAAG